ACCAAGGCCCUCUUUAGGGCCACAACAUUGUGAUCCACUCGUUUU
rfam:Clonorchis sinensis DNA, scaffold: 1664, strain: Henan.